GACCUUUAUUCAUCAAUCAAGUACAAGAGAGGAGCCAAAACACUCGGCCCUCUGUGGAAUGAGUGACACAUUGUAAUCUAUUCCCUUUGACAGACCGCUGACUUCUCCUCUCCGUGAUCUCUGAACUGGAGGCAUGAAUUUAAAUACUGUUUUCAGACCAAACACUUUUUAUUUUUACAUUGGUCAAUUAUAUGUGAAACCUGUAAGGUAAAACAUUCUGUAGAUUGUUUCUCUAUUCAAAAUGCUCAUCCUGUCUUCUGGAAAGGCUAAUCUUGUCCACAGGCACAGGUCUUUUCAGUAGUAAUGAAGGCAUGCUUCUGAAAGAGUUAAGGGUCAAAGGUCAUAACUCAGCUGUAGCACAGUCAUAGGAGGUCAUAGGUCAUGCUCAGAGUUGUGCAUCUGAUAUCAUGCAAUGGUUCAUGUAGGUUUGAUCUGAGGGUGCAUUCCAAAUGGCUCCCUAUUCCCUAUGGGCCCUGGUCAAAAGAAGUGCACCCUAUUCCCUAUGUGCCCUGGUCAAAAGAAGUGCACCCUAUUCCCUAUGGGCCCUGGUCAAAAGAAGUGCACCCUAUUCCCUAUGUGCCCUGGUCAAAAGAAGUGCACCCUAUUCCCUAUGGGCCCUGGUCAAAAGAAGUGCACCGCGUAGGGAAUAGGGAGCCGUUUGGGACAGACUUGUUCUUCAGUUGGUACAGCAUUAACGUUAUAACUAGGGAGAUACAAGCAUUCUUUAACCACAGAACCUGGAUAUCUAAUGGAAAUACAUCGUAGGUGCUAACCAUUUGUAACGUGGUUUUGCUUGCCAAAUGGCACCCUAUUCCCUACAUAGUGCACUACUUUUGAUCAGGGCCCAUAAGGGUCUGGUGAAAAGUAGUGCACUAUUUAGCGUCUGGUUCCAUUUGUGACAUCAUAGUUUUGUGCUCUAUGGAAGAGGCUGUAUUAUUGUUAGCACUCGUUAUAGUGGGAGAUGGUUACAGAGGUUUUAGACAGAACAUUCAUUAUUGCUUAGGUCAAAGGAACAUUCUAAAAUAUGGCCACAUUGCCUGAGAUAUGAAAUACAUACAUUAGUUGGAGGAUUAGAGGGGGUUGGGGGUUAGAGGAAAGUUGGAGGAGAGUUAGAGGGGGUUAGAAAGUUAGAGGGGGUUAGAAAGUUAGAGGGGGUCAGAGAGUUAGAGGAGGUUAGAGGGGGUUAGAGGAGGGUUAGAGGAGGGUUAGAGGAGGGUUAGAGGAGGGUUAGAGGAGAGUUAGAGGAGGGUUAAAGAGUUAGAGGACGGUUAAAGAGUUAGAGGAGAGUUAAAGAGUUAGAGGAGGUUUAGAGGAGAGUUAGAGGGGUUAGAGGAGGGUUAGAGGAGGGUUAGAGGAGGGUUGGAGGAGAGUUAGAGGAGGGUUAGAGGAGGGUUAGAGGAGAGUUAGAGGAGAGUUAGAGGGGUUAGAGGAGGGUUGGAGGAGAGUUAGAGGAGAGUUAGAGGGGUUAGAGGAGGGUUGGAGGAGAGUUAGAGGACGGUUAAAGAGUUAGAGGAGGUUUAGAGGGGGGUUAGAGGAGGGUUAGAGGAGAGUUAGAGGAGAGUUAGAGGAGAGUUAGAGGGGUUAGAGGAGGGUUGGAGGAGAGUUAGAGGAGAGUUAGAGGGGUUAGAGGAGGGUUGGAGGAGAGUUAGAGGACGGUUAAAGAGUUAGAGGAGGUUUAGAGGGGGGUUAUAGGAGGGUUAGAGGAGAGUUAGAGGAGAGUUAGAGGAGAAUUAAAGAGUUAGAGGACGGUUAAAGAGUUAGAGGACGGUUAAAGAGUUAGAGGAGGGUUAGAGUUAUAGGGGGGUUAGAGAGUUAGGAGGGUUAGAGAGUUAGGAGGGUUAGAGAGUUAGGAGGGUUAGAGAGUUAGAGGGGGGUUAGAGAGUUAGAGGAGGGUUAAAGAGUUAGAGGACGGUUAAAGAGUUAGAGGAGGGUUAAAGAGUUGGAGAGUUAGAGGAGGGUUAGAGAGUUAGAGGGGGGUUAGAGAGUUAGGAGGGUUAGAGAGUUAGAGGGGGGUUAGAGAGUUAGAGGAGGGUUAAAGAGUUGGAGAGUUAGAGGAGGGUUAAAGAGUUAGAGGACGGUUAAAGAGUUAGAGGACGGUUAAAGAGUUAGAGGACGGUUAAAGAGUUGGAGAGUUAGAGGAGAGUUAAAGAGUUAGAGGAGGGUUAGAGUUAUAGGGGGGUUAGAGAGUUAGGAGGGUUAGAGAGUUAGGAGGGUUAGAGAGUUAGGAGGGUUAGAGAGUUAGGAGGGUUAGAGAGUUAGAGGGGGUUGGAGAGUUAGAGGAGGGUUAAAGAGUUAGAGGAGGGUUAAAGAGUUGGAGAGUUAGAGGAGGGUUAGAGAGUUAGAGGGGGUUAGAGAAGUUAGAGGGUUAAAGAGUUGGAGAGUUAGAGGAGGGUUAAAGAGUUGGAGAGUUAGAGGAGGGUUAAAGAGUUAGAGGAGGGUUAGAGAGUUAGAGGAGGGUUAUAGAGAGUUAGGAGGGUUAGAGAGUUAGAGGGGGUUAGGGAUAGAGGGUUAGAGGAGGGUUAGGGAUAGAGGGUUAGGUCUGGAGGGUUAGGGAUAGAGGGUUAGAAUGUUAGAGGAGGGUUAGGGAUAGAGGGUUAGAAGGUUAGAGGAGGGUUAGGGAUAGAGGGUUAGAAGGUUAGAGGAGGGUUAGGGAUAGAGGGUUAGAAGGUUAGAGGAGGGUUAGGGAUAGAGGGUUAGAAGGUUAGGGUUAGGGCUAGUAAACAAGAUAACAAAAGUCCAAAGUAAACAGAUAAAUAAAUCAGUGCAGAUCAGGGGGAAAAAGAGAGCAGGUCAACACAGGAAGAGAAGAGAGGAGCUCAACAGGCAAACAUUUCACUGUCGUCAAUAUAAUUGUGCAAAUAUAUCCUAUGAGAAUGUAUUGUUCAAGUUUUUUUUUACAAGCAAAGUUCUAUUACAUCAUGCUGCAGUCCCAUCCUCUUCUACAGCAUAGUUAAAACAUGGUAUCAUGCUGCAGUCCCAUUGUCUUCUACAGCAUAGUUAAAACAUGGUAUCAUGCUGCAGUCCCAUCCUCUUCUACAGCAUAGUUAAAACAUGGUAUCAUGCUGCAGUCCCA
ensembl:lncRNA